rnacentral:misc_RNA from 1 species
GAUGAAGAACGUAGUGAAAUGCGAUAAGUAAUGUGAAUUGCAGAAUUCAGUGAAUCAUCGAAUCUUUGAACGCACAUUGCGCCCCCUGGUAUUCCGGGGGGCAUGCCUGUUCGAGCGUCAUUUCACCACUCAAGCCUCGCUUGGUAUUGGGCAACGCGGUCCGCCGCGUGCCUCAAAUCGACCGGCUGGGUCUUCUGUCCCCUAAGCGUUGUGGAAACUAUUCGCCAAAGGGUGCUCGGGAGGCUACGCCGUAAAACAAACCCAUUUCUAAGGUUGACCUCGGAUCAGGUAGGGAUACCCGCUGAACUUAAGCAUAUCAAUAAGCGGAGGA